ensembl:lncRNA
CUCCUUCCUCCCAAAGAGAAGCUGGUUAACCCUGGAUUCAGCCGGCAGACUAGCCCAUCUCCUCCUGGAGCCCCUCGGCGGGCCGGGUCACCCGCCUUUCUGCGGGCCCAUUCUUCAGGAGGCCCUGAGUUCACACAUCCCGGUGCUGUGGUCAUGUCUUAGAUUGACCGCUUUCUGGUGACGACGUGGGGGCCAGUGACCAGGAAUGGCUGGCACUGGAGAGCCCUUGUUCCUCAAUAUCCCAAAUGAGGCACAAGGAAACAGGGCUUGGAUGCUGAGCAUGAGCCUGCUUGUCACCUGCCUAAUGUCUCAUCUCCCAAGAUGACCAGGGUCACCUGGUCCUGUUCACAGAGGCUUGAUGACAAGAAGCAGGUAACCCUUUACAUCCUUGAGAAAACUACGCCAGUCCUGGGGCCCAGGCCUGCUAAAGACAAUCGGAGAAGUCCAUCCUCUGGCCUAGGACCAGAGUGGAGACAGGCAACACCCGGAGGGGGAGGGCAGCUCCUGGCUCUGCACAGGAACGGGGGAACCAGAAGUGGACCCAGUCCAGUCUCCGUCUGUGGGCCCUCCAUCUAAUGAGUGACCGUGAUAGAGAGUCAAAGUGCCAGAGCUGCAUGAUUCCUAAAAUGGGGAAAACCCUGGAAACAACUGAACAUCCAUGAGCAGUAAAAU